ensembl:lncRNA
GAGUAAGGCAUUGACCUUGCCUGGGAGCCCCUUCCCCACCCUCACUCUGGCUUUCUGUGAUUGCAUGUGGUCCUUGUUAAUAGCCCUCAGUUAGCCAGACCCGUUCCUUGGUCCAUCACCUGGCUACUUGCCUCAAAUAGGGCAGAGGUCUGUUGUGACAUGUGUGUGCUCAGCUGCUUCUGACUCUUUGUGACCCCACGGACUUCAGCCCAUCAGGCUCCUCUGUCCAUGGGAUUCGCCAGGCAAGAGUACUGGUCACCAUUUCCCUCUCCAGGGGAUCUUCCCGACCCAGGGAUCGAACCAGCCAUCUCCUGUGUCUCCUGCAUUAUGAGGAAACUGAGGCUCUGAGAAGUUAAAUAAUUUGCCUAAGGGCCCAGCAUGGGUUAUGGCGCCAGGAUUCGACCCCAAAGUCAGUGACUCGGCACUAAAACAUCUACUGCUGUCAAAAUCCAUGGUGGAGCCAGCGCUCUGGUCUCUGGGAGUGAGGGAGGGGCCUGGAGCUCUCGGACCCAGGCAAGGGAUAGAUGAUCUGGUCUACAGAAGCGGUCUGAUGAAACCAAUGGACGGAAAGUGGGGCAAACUAUUCAGAGACCCAGCACAUCCUGCGCCCUUAGAGACAACGUGAGGCCCUGUCAACUGAAGGAAGAAAAGGCAAGGAGGAAGCUGGGGGUUCAGGGCAGGCGCAGCCUUCUACCUGUGCCCCUCCUGAGU